ensembl:lncRNA
AUGAAAAAUAUAUUUUUUAUGGGUCAAGCACAAAGUGAUCCAGAGGUUUCUGAAAUCCCUACAAAUGCAGCCCAAGCUGACAGUGAGGGAGGAACCGGAGGAAAGAGGAAGCACAGUGUGGCCCAGAGGUUUAUGGGCCUGUCGACUCUGUUAUCCUCUGUAACAGGCAAGAAGACUUCUUCUCAGGACACCUCGAGUGGCAACGGAAGCAUUCGUAAUGGACGUUGUGAGAACUUGUCGACUUGUCAACCAGCUGGUCUUUUUGAAACAACCCUGACCUACCGUUCACUGACCCCUCUCUUGUCGGCUGAUAUGGACCUAGAUGGAUCUAUGAUGAUUAACGGAAGCUGGAGGCCUGAGUCUGAAUACUCACUGAAUUCUCAGCUGAAUCUUUGCCAUGACUCAGACAGCUGGGAUACAAUCUCAACUAUAACCAUGAGUUCGAUCAACUCAGUUGACAGUUACAGGUCAGAGAAAACUCCCCUGGCCUUCUUCAUGCAGCUCCCUCAACAUAGGGAUCUUUCUGGAAUGCAUUGGCUGAACACAAACAUUCUGCUGCCAACCCUCAGUCCCAAAAAGGACCUCACGAAAGGUUUCAAAGAGACUGUUAAUAACAUUGACUACGCUGAUGAUGAGGUUGACUCUAUGAACUCUUAUAUUGAAGAAGUUGCUGAUGCAAUUCAUGAAGCAAACAUGUUACUGGCAGAGAUGGAUGAAGAUGAAAUGUUAAACAAUUCAAAAUGA